UACGUAGGGUCCAAGCGUUGUCCGGAAUUAUUGGGCGUAAAGAGCUCGUAGGCGGUCCGUUAAGUCGGAAGUGAAAUCUCAAGGCUCAACCUUGAAAUCGCUUUCGAUACUGGCGGACUUGAGGCAGGUAGGGGAAGGUGGAAUUCCUGGUGUAGCGGUGAAAUGCGCAGAUAUCAGGAGGAACACCGGUGGCGAAGGCGGCCUUCUGGGCCUGUUCUGACGCUGAGGAGCGAAAGCGUGGGGAGCAAACAGG
rnacentral:rRNA from 2 species